AUUGAACGCUGGCGGCAGGCCUAACACAUGCAAGUCGAGCGAGCGGCGGACGGGUGAGUAAUGUAUGGGGACUGCCCGCUAGCGGGGGAUCACUACUGGAAACGGAGGCUAAUACCGCAUACCGUCGGAUAAACUAUAUGGGAUGAGCUAGUGGGUAAGGUAAUGGCCUACCUAGGCGACGAUCCCUAGCUGGUCUGAGAGGAUGAUCAGCCACACUGGGACGGAGACACUCCCCAACCGCCUACGGAGGCAGCAGUGGGGAAUAUUCCGCAAGGGGCGCUAGCCUGAAGCGGCCAAUGCGCGUGUAUGUAGAAGACCAUAGGGUUGUAAAGUACUUUCCGUCGGGAGGCGUUACCGACAGAAGAAGCACCGGCUAACUCCGUGCCAGCAGCCGCGGUAAUUC
rnacentral:rRNA from 1 species